UACAGAGGGUGCGAGCGUUAAUCGGAAUUACUGGGCGUAAAGCGCGCGUAGGUGGUUUUGUAAGUCGGGUGUGAAAGCCCCAGGCUUAACCUGGGAACUGCAUUCGAGACUGCAUGACUAGAGUAUGGGAGAGGGCAGUGGAAUUUCCGGUGUAGCGGUGAAAUGCGUAGAUAUCGGAAGGAACAUCAGUGGCGAAAGCGGCUUCCUGGACCAGCACCGACGUUCAGGCACGAAAGCGUGGGGAGCAAACAGG
rnacentral:rRNA from 1 species